AACGAACGCUGGCGGCAGGCUUAACACAUGCAAGUCGAGCGCCCCGCAAGGGGAGCGGCAGACGGGUGAGUAACGCGUGGGAACGUACCUUUUGGUUCGGAACAACUCCGGGAAACUGGAGCUAAUACCGGAUAAGCCCUAACGGGGAAAGAUUUAUCGCCGAAAGAUCGGCCCGCGUCUGAUUAGCUAGUUGGUGAGGUAACGGCUCACCAAGGCGACGAUCAGUAGCUGGUCGGAGAGGAUGAUCAGCCACCCUGGGACUGAGACCCGGCCCAGACUCCCGCGGGAGGCGGCAGGGGGGAAUAUUGGAAAGGGGGCGCAAGCCUGAUCCCGCCAUGCCGGGUGAGUGAUGAAGGCCUUAGGGUUGUAAAGCUCUUUUGCCCGGGAAGAUAAUGACUGUACCGGAAAAAUAAGCCCCGGCAAACUUCUU
rnacentral:rRNA from 1 species